AAUACCGGCAGUCUCCUCACCAUCCUCGUGGGGGCAGUCAUUCCCCCCAGUAUUCACAAGAAGAAGGCAAAACAAGACGCGUUUCCGGGUUGGCUCGCGCUGCUCGGCUGGCGGAGCGGCUAGCUUGCUAGCUGGCUGGCUAGCUCCAGAGAAAUAGCCGUUUAACGAGUCUAACAGGAGCUUGGCAAAGUUAAAUCGCGUUUGUCUUGAUCGGAGGUCAAAUGCGGAAUAAGCUUGGAAAGUCGUGAAGGAGUGACACAUCGCCGGUUAGCACUGCUAACCGGCGGCGACUGAGCGAUCCGCCCCCGACACGAACAAGUUCCGUUAGCAUGGCGACAGUUGCUAAGGUGUGACGACAUGACGUGAUUGCCCCACGUUGAUUUGCCCGCUCCACACUUUCGCGGCUCAUGAGUGCGCCUCCGUCCGAUGGAGGUGGCGCGUUGCCCUGCUCGGCCGACGAGAUGACGCGACGCUUGAGCCGGCGGCUGCUUGUGCCCUUGUAUGCAGGAGGCCCGACAUGGACGCCCGCCCCGAGUGCGACAUCGCGGCUGCUGAAAAGGGGCCGAGUCGUAAGCCCGAUGGACGCCGCGGUGCAGGACUCGUGAGCGCUUUUCACAAGAUCUUCAGCGACCGCAACACUCUCAACAUU